GCUCCUAUCGAAUAGCGGUCAGUUCGCUACCCUCUCAAGGUAGAAACACGGGUUCGAAUCCCGUUAGGAGUACCA
rnacentral:tRNA from 1 species